rnacentral:rRNA from 1 species
UACGUAGGGGCGAGCGUUGUCCGGAAUUAUUGGGCGUAAAGAGCGUGUAGGCGGUUCGGUAAGUCUGUCGUGAAAACCUGGGCUCAAACCCAGGCGUGCGGUGGAUACUGCCGGGCUAGAGGAUGGUAGAGGCGAGUGGAAUUCCGGUGUAGCGGUGAAAUGCGCAGAUAUCGGGAGGAACACCAGUAGCGAAGGCGGCUCGCUGGCCAUACCUGACGCUGAGACGCGAAAGCGUGGGAGC